CCCGCGGCUCGCCGUUUCCCCCUGCGCGCGAGGAAAGAGGAGGCCGGAGACAUGAAAAGCUCGUCAGCUGUGACCGCCCCCAGCUCGGUGAGUGACCCCCGGGCACAGGGGCCUGCGAGCUGCCUGAAUUGGGGCGUCUGUGUACCGUGUCUGUGACGGGGCCUUGUAAUAAAUCGGGAGGGGAGCGGCUGGCAGCGCGGCGUGAUGACAGGAGGCCUUCUCCAGCCGUCUUAGUGUGCGCAGCUAAUGGGCGUGUGAG